rnacentral:rRNA from 1 species
ACAGCAGCCGCCGCGGUAAAACGGAGGGGGCUAGCGUUGUUCGGAAUUACUGGGCGUAAAGCGUACGUAGGCGGCUUUGUAAGUUAGAGGUGAAAGCCUGGUGCUCAACACCAGAACUGCCUUUAAGACUGCAUCGCUUGAACGUCGGAGAGGUGAGUGGAAUUCCGAGUGUAGAGGUGAAAUUCGUAGAUAUUCGGAAGAACACCAGUGGCGAAGGCGGCUCACUGGACGACUGUUGACGCUGAGGUACGAAAGCGUGGGGAGCAAACAGGAUUAGAUACCCCUGUAGUCCCUGUCUCUUAUCC